rnacentral:rRNA from 1 species
CUCCAAUAGCGUAUAUUUAAGUUGCUGCAGUUAAAAAGCUCGUAGUUGGAUUUCGGGUGGGGCCUGCCGGUCCGCCGUUUCGGUGUGCACUGGCCGGGCCACCUUGGUGCCGGGGACGGGCUCCUGGGCUUCACUGUCUGGGACCGGAGUCGGCGAGGUUACUUUGAGUAAAUUAGAGUGUUCAAGCAGGCCUACGCUCU